AUGUGUUUUAGCAAUUGAGAAAAAUUGUAAAGUGAGAUGAUGCUGAUAUUUCAACUUUGCAUACUACCCUACAAAUGACAGUGUGCCACAUUUCUUGGAAAACUGUUUUAGUUUUUAGUACAACUUGUGCGUUACAUGUAUUUACCGACUUUCAAAGUGAAUGAUUGACAAUGGAUUGAUUACAUUGCUCAACAAGUCCAAAUAAGCUGGCAGCACAGAUCAGAAGAAUCAACAACGCAGUGGGGCAAUACAAGAUUUGUGUACAGACUGGUGAGAACAUGAAGACUGUGAUUCUCGCUCUCGUGGUGUUGGUGGUGGUCAGCCAGGGUGAAGCGUUGACGUGUCACUGUUCAAGCAUCCCUGCGAUAUGUCCAGGUUCAGUGGUAACCUGCGAGUUAGGUGAAGUCUGUGGCAGCAUCGCCGUUGGUGUUGGACCCCGUCCCUACCAUGUGAGGAAGUGCAUGAAAGCAGAUGAAUGCAUGCGUCUGAGUAACGCAGGAGGAGCGUAUUCUGACGGCCGCUGCUGCAGCCGAGACAUGUGCAACUGAUACAGAGGAGGAGGAAGUGUCACUUUCUUCAGCACCUGCAUGACUGCAAAAGCCUGCAGGCUUCUGUGUAACACUCAUGCUGUGUAGUAUUUCCUUAAUAAAGAUCAAUCAGUUGCA